rnacentral:misc_RNA from 1 species
GCUGCUGGUAUUACUGGUGGUGGAGUGAGGGGCAGUAUUGUGAACGUGGAUGGAUUCGAAAGCACGGCGUCGUUCAGCGCGUUGCGGUUGCAACCGGUGCCACGUGGUGGAGAGGGGUUCUUCAUGUCGGGUCCCAUCGAGCGGGGUGCGAUAUCGGGUCCACUCGAAGCGAACUCGGGGACCGACAAUAGCGGGCAGGUACACUUCUCCGCGCCGCUUGGUGGCGUUUAUGUGAAAAAGAAGCGAAGGAAGGGUAUUUCUGGGAUUAAGAAGGCGAUAUAUCGGAAUUUAUCGGAGAAGAAACGGCCGUGGGUAGUGCCGGUGCUGAAUUUCGUGAACCGGAGAGAGAAUUCGGGAACCGGUGAGGAGAGGGAGAGCCAAGACGAGAGUAAUGUGCAGUGGGCGUUAGGGAAGGCGGGAGAGGAUCGGGUCCAUGUGGUUGUGUCGGAGGAGGAGGGUUGGUUAUUUGUUGGGAUUUAUGAUGGGUUUAAUGGCCCUGACGCGCCUGAAUUCUUGAUGGGGAAUCUCUAUAGGGCUGUGUAUAACGAACUUCAAGGGUUGUUUUGGGACCUUGAAGAGCCUGACGAGGCAAGUAAUGUAGCAUCAACAAUUGUAGUGGAAAGUGACAAUACGACUAACUCAUCACUAGAAAGAAACGGUAAAGAUUAUGGGGAGGGUUCAAUCGGUGAAGCAGAAUCGAAUUUAGUUAAUUUAGAAAAUGUAGCUAAAGAUGAUUCGUCAAAGGAAACGGGUGUUGAAAAGGACGGGGAUGGUACAAUUGGCGGAAUUGAAUCGAGCUCGGUGCCUCAUGAAAGGGCAAAGAGGGUAACGUUUCAAUCAGAGGGGAUAGAGAUUACACAGAGAAGACGAUUAUGGGAAUUCCUUGCUGAGGAUGAUGCAGAAGACGGGCUUGAUCUUUCAGGGUCUGAUAGAUUUGCCUUUUCUGUUGAUGAUGCAAUUAGUGUUGGCAAUGCGGGGUCUGCAGUCAGUAGAAGGUGGUUAUUGCUGUCAAAACUGAAACAAGGGUUGUCAAAACGUAGGGAGAAUAAUAUUUUUCCAUGGAAAUUUGGAUUGGAGAGAAGAGAGGAGAAGGUGGAGAGUAGUAGAGUGGAGGAGAGGGUUUUGAAGAGGAAGCGGAAGGUAGGACCUGUUGAUCAUGAUUUGGUUUUGAGGGCAUUAUCAAGAGCGCUAGAAAUGACUGAGCUAGCAUACUUGGAUAUGACCGAUAAGGUGCUGGAUACAAACCCAGAGUUAGCAUUGAUGGGUUCAUGCUUAUUGGUGGUGUUGAUGAGGGAUGAGGACGUGUAUGUGAUGAAUGUGGGUGACAGCAGGGCAAUCGUGGCACAGUAUGAGCCAGAAGAUGUUGGUUCUUGUGUGGAUGGUUCCGGAUUGACCAUGGAGGAGCUAACUGAGGGUCCUGCUCAAGCAAUGAGGUUGACUGCAUUGCAGCUGUCCACUGAUCACAGCACAAGCAUUGAAGAAGAAAUCUUAAGAAUCAAGACUGAACACCUUGAUGACAGCCAGUGUAUUGUCAAUGAUAGAGUGAAAGGUCGUCUUAAGGUUACCAGAGCAUUCGGAGCAGGAUUUCUCAAACAGCCAAAAUUUAAUGAUGCAGUGUUGGAGAUGUUUCGGAAUGAGUAUAUUGGUACUGCACCAUAUAUAUCCUGCAUGCCUUCUCUCUGUCACCACCGACUGUGUCCAAGAGAUCAAUUUGUAGUCCUCUCAUCUGACGGACUAUAUCAGUAUCUGACCAAUCAGGAAGUGGUUUCUCAUAUUGAGAGUUUCAUGGAGAAGUUUCCAGAUGGCGACCCAGCGCAGCACCUGAUAGAGGAGAUUCUUUCUCGCGCAGCCAAGAAAGCUGGGAUGGAUUUCCAUAAAUUACUAGACAUACCACAAGGAGACCGACGGAAGUACCAUGAUGACAUUACUGUUAUGGUGAUAUCUCUUGAAGGA